AUUGAACGCUGGCGGCAGGCCUAACACAUGCAAGUCGAGCGGAUGAAGGGAGCUUGCUCCUGGAUUCAGCGGCGGACGGGUGAGUAAUGCCUAGGAAUCUGCCUGGUAGUGGGGGAUAACGUCCGGAAACGGGCGCUAAUACCGCAUACGUCCUGAGGGAGAAAGUGGGGGAUCUUCGGACCUCACGCUAUCAGAUGAGCCUAGGUCGGAUUAGCUAGUUGGUGGGGUAAAGGCCUACCAAGGCGACGAUCCGUAACUGGUCUGAGAGGAUGAUCAGUCACACUGGAACUGAGAAACGGUCCAGACUCCUACGGGAGGCAGCAGUGGGGAAUAUUGGACAAUGGGCGAAAGCCUGAUCCAGCCAUGCCGCGUGUGUGAAGAAGGUCUUCGGAUUGUAAAGCACUGUAAGUUGGGAGGAAGGGCAGUAAGUUAAUACCUUGCUGUUUUGACGUUACCAACAGAAUAAGCACCGGCUAACUUCGUG
rnacentral:rRNA from 1 species